rnacentral:rRNA from 2 species
UACACACCGCCCGUCGCUACUACCGAUUGAAUGGCUCAGUGAGGCCUUCGGACUGGCUCAGGGAGGUCGGCAACGACCACCCAGAGCCGGAAAGUUGGUCAAACUCGGUCAUUUAGAGGAAGUAAAAGUCGUAACAAGGUCUCCGUAGGUGAACCUGCGGAGGGAUCAUUA